GACGGUUACUUUUGGAUUUCACUUGAGAAUAUUCUGAUGUAUUUUGUAUGUUGAACAGUGAUGGUUACUUUUGGAUUUCACUUGAGAAUAUUCUGAUGUAUUUUGUAUGUUGAACAGUGAUGGUUACUUUUGGAUUUCACUUGAGAAUAUUCUGAUGUAUUUUGUAUGUUGAACAGUGAUGGUUACUUUUGGAUUUCACUUGAGAAUAUUCUGAUGUAUUUUGUAUGUUGAACAGUGG